rnacentral:rRNA from 1 species
UACGUAGGGCGCAAGCGUUAUCCGGAAUUAUUGGGCGUAAAGAGCUCGUAGGCGGUUUGUCGCGUCUGCCGUGAAAGUCCGGGGCUCAACUCCGGAUCUGCGGUGGGUACGGGCAGACUAGAGUGAUGUAGGGGAGACUGGAAUUCCUGGUGUAGCGGUGAAAUGCGCAGAUAUCAGGAGGAACACCGGUGGCGAAGGCGGGUCUCUGGGCAAUUCCUGACGCUGAGGCGCGAAAGCGUGGGUAGCAAACAGG